rnacentral:rRNA from 2 species
ACGGUGAAGCAGGGCUUGCUCUGUGGAUCAGUGGCGAACGGGUGAGUAACACGUGAGCAACCUGCCCCGGACUCUGGGAUAACAGUUGGAAACAGCUGCUAAUACCGGAUACGAGCUGCGAAGGCAUCUUCAGCAGUUGGAAAGAAUUUCGGUCUGGGAUGGGCUCGCGGCCUAUCAGCUUGUUGGUGAGGUAAUGGCUCACCAAGGCGUCGACGGGUAGCCGGCCUGAGAGGGUGACCGGCCACACUGGGACUGAGACACGGCCCAGACUCCUACGGGAGGCAGCAGUGGGGAAUAUUGCACAAUGGGCGAAAGCCUGAUGCAGCAACGCCGCGUGAGGGAUGACGGCCUUCGGGUUGUAAACCUCUUUUAGCAGGGAAGAAGCGAAAGUGACGGUACCUGCAGAAAAAGCGCCGGCUAACUACGUGCCAGCAGCCGCGGUAAUACGUAGGGCGCAAGCGUUAUCCGGAAUUAUUGGGCGUAAAGAGCUCGUAGGCGGUUUGUCGCGUCUGCUGUGAAAUCCCGAGGCUCAACCUCGGGCCUGCAGUGGGUACGGGCAGACUAGAGUGCGGUAGGGGAGAUUGGAAUUCCUGGUGUAGCGGUGGAAUGCGCAGAUAUCAGGAGGAACACCGAUGGCGAAGGCAGAUCUCUGGGCCGUAACUGACGCUGAGGAGCGAAAGGGUGGGGAGCAAACAGGCUUAGAUACCCUGGUAGUCCACCCCGUAAACGUUGGGAACUAGUUGUGGGGUCCAUUCCACGGAUUCCGUGACGCAGCUAACGCAUUAAGUUCCCCGCCUGGGGAGUACGGCCGCAAGGCUAAAACUCAAAGGAAUUGACGGGGACCCGCACAAGCGGCGGAGCAUGCGGAUUAAUUCGAUGCAACGCGAAGAACCUUACCAAGGCUUGACAUAUAGAGGAAACGGCUGGAAACAGUCGCCCCGCAAGGUCUCUAUACAGGUGGUGCAUGGUUGUCGUCAGCUCGUGUCGUGAGAUGUUGGGUUAAGUCCCGCAACGAGCGCAACCCUCGUUCUAUGUUGCCAGCACGUAAUGGUGGGAACUCAUGGGAUACUGCCGGGGUCAACUCGGAGGAAGGUGGGGAUGACGUCAAAUCAUCAUGCCCCUUAUGUCUUGGGCUUCACGCAUGCUACAAUGGCCGGUACAAAGGGCUGCAAUACCGUGAGGUGGAGCGAAUCCCAAAAAGCCGGUCCCAGUUCGGAUUGAGGUCUGCAACUCGACCUCAUGAAGUCGGAGUCGCUAGUAAUCGCAGAUCAGCAACGCUGCGGUGAAUACGUUCCCGGGUCUUGUACACACCGCCCGUCAAGUCAUGAAAGUCGGUAACACCUGAAGCCGGUGGCCCAACCCUUGU